AUCACUAAUUAAGGGUCUAGUUUUAAAUAUUCAUCAUCGAAAUGAUUAAUACGCACAAAGCCAUCCUCUCCACCAGUAGUAAAACUCAUACCAUCAGGGGCAUAGACUAAGGCAUUCAUAGUACCAAAGUGACCUUUAAUAGCGCCAAGCUCAGUACCAUAAAUCAUGUGCAUAAUUAGAGUCUGAAAUUUACCUUCUUGAGUACCAGUAGUCGUGACAUCUUGUGCGAGUUGGCCACCUCCAAGUAAAAUGUGUCUCUUUGGGUCUUUUUCUUUGUUAAAGUUUGGAGAUAUAGAACAGCCAUUCAAAAGACGAUUAGUUGUAUACUUUCUAAUUUCCUUUAAGUUUACCAUAUCCCAUAACUUUGCUGUCAUAUCAUGGCUACAUGUUAACAUUAAGGUUCUAUCCUCAGAGAAUGAACAGCAUGUGAGUAACUUAGAAUGGGCUCUAAGAACCUCAUAUGGCUCCGAACUUUGCCUGAUAUCCCAAAUGUAAAUACCUCCAUCUUCAUGACCAGAAAUAAUAUUUUGAUCAAACAUACCCCAGUGAGCUCGUGUGAUUCUGCUGUUGAUUCCUGUAAUUCUAACGCCCUCCAUAUUUGGAUCACCGACUUUCUUUAUAAGUAACUGACGAGGCUCUGGAUAGAAUUGGUCUACAGCAACAACAAACUUGUCUUGAUUAUCAUACUUUCUAUUGAACUCAACAAAACGGCAAGUACCGCUCAUAGGAUAAGAGGAGAUUAUCUCUGCUCUUUCGAUAUCAAAGCUCACGCACUUCUGGUCUGCUGAAGACAUUAUCAAAGUUUUCCCAUCUAAUGAUGGGUCACAAUUCCAAACUGCUGCUCUUCCGGCCUCGUAUUUAGCAGCAACCUUUCCAUCGGAUGUAAAUGAACAUGCAACUGAACCAUCCUAUAAUUAAUAAUAUUAAUAUUAGUUAAAUUAGUUCUCAGUAAUUUUCCCAGUAUUACUUAAAUGGAAAAAUUUACAAAAUUAAAUGACUUACCUUGCCACAUGAAAAUACCAGAUCUCCGUCAAAAUUAUAAGUUACAAAUGUAAUAGGACGCUCAUGAGCUUGUAAUACUAUUGGCCUCAUUUUAUUUAUUCUUUUCAGAGUAAGUGUUUAUUAAACUUUGAAUAUAACUCUUAAUCAACAUAUAAUUUUUUACUAUUUCAAAAAUCCCUCUCAACCCGGCAGUCUUCAAUUUCAGGAGAACUCCAAGAUUAAGCUAAAAUUAGUUCCUGAAUCCUUCCUGUAUCAAGUAUUAAAGUUGCGGCUGCUAAAAAGCCACCUUGAUUACUCGAAUAUUUCUUUUUUCCCAGUCAAGAGGAAAAAAUUUUUCAAUAAAUAUUCCUCUGAAUUUCUAUUGGCAUCUUUUACAUUUAAUGAGACGGACGUAUUUGCCGCGCGCGGUAUUAUUGCUAUUUAUUUGUUAUUCAAUACCUUAUUACAACCAAUUUGGAAUGCAUGCAGAAAUGCGGCUACAAUUCAUAAAUAUUAAAAAUCAAUUAUAAAAGCCUAAACCAAAUAAUUAAAUAAAUAAAAGACCACAUUUAAUCAAAUCAAAAACUACGUGCUAAAUCACAAAUAAAUGUGAAUUUGCUACAAUUAAUUCUGCUGAUAGAACAUCAAGCUAAUUACUACAUAUAUGAUAGCUUUAAAGGAAUAUAUUUUUUAGGUUUGAAUUUGUUUACAUUCCAAUGCUGG
rnacentral:antisense_RNA from 1 species